CUUGUACUCCCUCCGUCCGGCAAUACUUCUCAUUGAAAUGGAUGUAUCUAGAUGUAUUUUAGUUCUAGACACCUCCAUUUUGAUGACAAGUAAUUUCGGACGGAGGGAGUACUUG
rfam:Triticum aestivum genome assembly, contig: Triticum_aestivum_CS42_TGACv1_scaffold_130622_2BL